UGGGGAAUUUUGGACAAUGGGGGCAACCCUGAUCCAGCAAUGCCGCGUGAGUGAAGAAGGCCUUCGGGUUGUAAAGCUCUUUUGUCAGGGAAGAAACACCGGCUCUAACACAGUCCGGGAAUGACGGUACCUGAAGAAUAAGCACCGGCUAACUACGUGCCAGCAGCCGCGGUAAUACGUAGGGUGCGAGCGUUAAUCGGAAUUACUGGGCGUAAAGCGUGCGCAGGCGGUUAUACAAGACAGGCGUGAAAUCCCCGGGCUUAACCUGGGAAUGGCGCCUGUGACUGUAUAGCUAGAGUGUGUCAGAGGGGGGUAGAAUUCCACGUGUAGCAGUGAAAUGCGUAGAUAUGUGGAGGAAUACCAAUGGCGAAGGCAGCCCCCUGGGAUAACACUGACGCUC
rnacentral:rRNA from 1 species